GAUGAACGCUGGCGGCGUGCCUAACACAUGCAAGUCGAGCGAACAGAUGAGGAGUUUGCUCCUCUGACGUUAGCGGCACGCGUGUGAGUAACAUGUGGAUAACCUACCUAUAAGAGUGGGAUAACUUCGGGAAACCGGAGCUAACACCGGAGAAUAUAUUGAACCACAUGGGUCAAUAGUGAAAGACGGCUUUGCGGUCAGUUAUAGAUGGAUCCGCGCCUCAUUAGCUAGUUGGUAAGGUAACGGCUUACCAAGGCAACGAUGCGUAGCCGACCUGAGAGGGUGAUCGGCCACACUGGAACUGAGACACGGCCCAGACUCCUACGGGAGGCAGCAGUAGGGAAUCUUCCGCAAUGGGCGAAAGCCUGACGGAGCAACGCCGCGUGAGUGAUGAAGGUCUUCGGGUCGUAAAGCUCUGUUAUUAGGGAAGAACAACUGUGUACGUAACUAUGCAGGUCUUGACGGUACCGGAUCAAAAAGCACCGGCUAACUACGUG
rnacentral:rRNA from 1 species